AGUGAACGUUGGCGGCGUGGAUUAGGCAUGCAAGUCGAGCGAGAACCGUAGCAAUACGGGGACAGCGGCGAAAGGGACAGUAAUGUGUAGGUACCUACCCCGAGGUCUGGGAUAGCUGCGGGAAAAUGCAGGUAAUACCGGAUAAUGUCUUCGGACCCAAGGUGUGAUUCCACCUUGGGAGGGGCCUGCAUCCUAUUAGCUAGUUGGCGGGGUAAUGGCCCACCAAGGCGACGAUGGGUAGCGGGUGUGAGGGCACGACCCGCGUCAUUGGGACUGAGACACUGCCCAGACACCUACGGGUGGCUGCAGUCGAGGAUCUUCGGCAAUGGGCGAAAGCCUGACCGAGCGACGCCGCGUGCGGGAUGAAGGCCUUCGGGUUGUAAACCGCUGUCGUAGAGGAGGAAAUGCAGGUGGGUUCUCCCAUCUGUUUGACCUAUUCUAGGAGGAAGUACGGGCUAAGUUCGUGCCAGCCGCCGCCGUAA
rnacentral:rRNA from 1 species